rfam:Schistosoma margrebowiei strain Zambia genome assembly, scaffold: SMRZ_contig0005619
AGCUUUUUGAAUCUGUGUUGAGAUUUCGUCCGACACCAAUCCAUUAGGGCUGAUCAGAGUCUCAAGAUAAGUGAAGUU